CUGGGUGGUGGCAUGUGGAGAGUGAAUUGCCCGAUCUAGAGCUGCUAAAGUUUCCAAAACUAAAACCCAUGAUGGCCCUAAAACGUUGUGCAACCGAUGAGCAAUGUUGAAGAGAGUCCUCAGGGCCUGCACAUUCUUGGGAGUAAGAACAACACUCUCCCUCGGUUCAACUAGUGACUCAGGCCGUUUUGGCCCAGGAGACAGCACUGCACUCUUUUUC
rnacentral:misc_RNA from 1 species